AUGUUUUUGCAAUUUACGUUAUGUACUGUAUCUAUAAAAGUUCUUGUACUCUAUUUCCAGCUUGAAGACUCGUCAGCUUCCAUCUUUGAAAAUUCCUGCCCUGAUGAUGAUGACAACAAACUACCUGAUAGUGGACCAAGUCGUGGCAAUGACGAUUUGACCAACCUGAACAGUCAGCUGGAUUUUAUGGACAAGUCACCUUUUGCAGAUCUAGACUCUUCUCAAGAGAUGAUGGGGGCCUUUACGCUACAACCAAACGUUGCUUCAUGCACACAGCAGGAAGACGAGGCUUCAUUCAAGACUUAUGAACUCUGCUGGGAUGGAGACUACGGACCCAGCAAAGCUAUGCCAAACUCCAAGUACCCUUCUUGCACCAUUAAAAAUUAUUGUUAUGUUUGCAGUAAAGGCUAUACUAAAAUUUCUCGUCAUCUCCUAAAGCAUGCUGAUGAAGAGCCUGAUAUUGCUGAAGCUUUGGCAUUACCCAUAACCUCAAAGGAUCGAAAAAGGUUAUUUGAAGAAUUACGUAACAGGGGAAAUUACCAACAUAAUCAAGAGGUGUUGAAGAAAAACUGUGGAGAGUUAAAACUGAAAAGACGACCGACCACCUUGUUGGUCAGUCCUACAACACAUGUGCACUGUCUUCAUUGCAAAGGCAUGUUUUUACGUACGGAGUUGUGGAGGCACAUGGCCAGAUGUCCUUCUAGGACAACGUCAAUCUCUGCAACAGGCGGCAGGACAAAAGUCUUAAGUGAGAUUGUUCUUGCAGAGUCACCAUUCUCCAAAGCACUUCCAUCUGAUGUGUGGAAGAUGCUCACAACUAUGAGACCAGAUGAGAUUGCAUUUAUAAUUGUAAAUGAUUUCCUUCUAAUACAACUGGCAGAGUAUCUGUCCAAGAAGUAUCAAAAUAAUCUAAGAAAAGACGAUUACAUCAGACAGAAGCUGCGAGAAAUGGGAAGACUUUUGUUGGCACUGCAUGAAAAGUCGAUAUUUAGCUUUGAAGAUGCUAUCAAACCCAAAAACUUUUACAAAGUUGUUGAGGUUGUCAAGGACAUCACUGGUUUCGAUGUAAAGAUGCAGAGCUAUAACACACCAAGUCUUGCUUUGAAAUUAGGACAUUUACUGAAAACAAUAUGCACCUCUGUCCUCACGAGAGUUGAUGGCAAUGAGCAGAUGAUGAGAGACACAAAGACUUUCAUGAAACUGUGUGAAAAAGAAUGGUCUGAACUAGUCCCCCAAACAGCCCUCGCUUUGUUGAGUGGACGAAAACUAAACACGUCUCCCAUACCAUUCACACGUGAUGUGCAGAUGUUCUACAGCUACCUAGAAACAACAUCAGCUUCUGCCAUUGAAAGCAUGGAGAAGUAUGAAAGCCCUCAGGUCUACAAUGCUCUUUGUAGAGUGACACUUGCACAAGCAUCAGUCUUAAGCGAAUGUGCACCUGAGAUUUCAAAAAUGACACUGAAGACAUUCCAGGAGAGGGACGACUCUGCCCAAGUGUUGUCCAAGCACUUCAUCAGGAUGAAUACUCUGAGCAGAUCUAGCCAAAACGUUGCUGUCUUGUUGACCUCUGAACUUGUUAGUGCAAUAACUGUGCUUGUGAGCAAGAGAAAAUCAUGUGACAUACACAAAGACAAUCCUUUCUUGUUUGCAAAGCCUAAUUCUUCUCCUACAAGCCACUACCAAGGAAAGAGCUGUGUCAGGGCUUUUUCAAGUCUGUGUGGUGCAAAGAACCCAGAGCAUCUCAUGUCAGUGCAUCGUCACAAACAUCUUGCACGAGUCUUCCAGAUUCUCAACCUGGAGAGCGACGAGCUUGAGCACCUCGCUAAACUGUUGGGCCAUGACAUCCGAUCUGACAGGGACUAUUAUCGGCUGCCAGAGGCAGCUGUGGAACUUGCAAAAAUAGCCAAACUUCUUCUGGCAAUGGAAAAGGGUUCUCUUGGAAGAUUCAAAGGAAACUCUCUGGAUGAAAUUGAGAUUGAGGGUAGGAGUCCAGUGUGA
ensembl:lncRNA